rnacentral:misc_RNA from 1 species
GAUUCCAGAGGGCAGAAUUCCAAUGGAAGAGGAAAUGGUUGGGUCUGAUUUAAUCUUCCAAAGUAAGGAUGGGAUCCUGAAAAGUCCCUGAGCCCUUUUAUCUUUUGUUGCUAAUGUGUAGGACAUGAGGCUUGAAUGGGACCGGUAACCUGCGAAGUCACCUCUCUAACUGCUUGCCUGUUGAUUAUGCACAAUCUAUCUCUGUUCUGGCAUCUGCAACUUCGGUUGCGCAAAUCAGCAAUCAUGUAACAUUAGCCCAAUUUAUGAAAUGUGCCGCUUCUCACCUUACCUCCAGGGACUGCUUUGGAUUGGAUGAGGAAUGCAAAGCUGUGGCCGCUUCUAUUUAAUGGGUACUUGUAAUGUCAUGUAUCAGGAAGAAUGUUAUACUUCCUCCUAAUUCAUGAAAUGUGCCUUUUAUUUUUAUUUUUUUUUUUU